GGACCCGUCUUGAAACACGGACCAAGGAGUCUUGCAUGUGUGCUAGCCAUUGAGACUAUAAAUAAAACUGAAAGGCUCUACGAAAGUGUUGGUGUCCACCCGUCGCGUACUGAAAGUGGACGGAGCGUCGGACCCGAUCGGUCUCUGGCACUCCCGAGGCAUCUUGAUUUCAACUUAUGGAUGCAGGCGCGCUCAGAGCAUAGCUGCUGGGACCCCAAAAAUGGUGAACUAUGAU
rnacentral:rRNA from 1 species